AUCGAUGGCCGGACCAACCUGAAUGCGCCUGGUCUCAGAAGCUAAGCAGGGUUGGCUUGGUCAGUACUUGGACAGGAGACCGCCUGGGAGGCCCGGUGCUGUAGGCU
rfam:Nomascus leucogenys chromosome 19, whole genome shotgun sequence.